rnacentral:rRNA from 1 species
GACGAACGCUGGCGGCGUGCUUAACACAUGCAAGUCGAACGGGAAGGCCCGGCUUUUGUGGCGUGCUCGAGUGGCGAACGGGUGAGUAACACGUGAGUAACCUGCCCUUGACUUUGGGAGAACUUCAGGAAACUGGGGCUAAUACCGGAUAGGAGCUCCUGCUGCAUGGUGGGGGCUGGAAAGUUUCGGCGGUGGGGGAUGGACUCGCGGCUUAUCAGCUUGUUGGUGGGGUAGUGGCUUACCAAGUCUUUGACGGGUAGCCGGCCUGAGAGGGUGACCGGCCACAAUGGGACGGAGAUACGGCCCAGACUCCUACGGGAGGCAGCAGUGGGGAAUAUUGCACAAUGGGCGGAAGCCUGAUGCAGCAACGCCGCGUGCGGGAUGACGGCCUUCGGGUUGUAAUCCGCUUUCGCCUGUGACGAAGCGUGAGUGACGGUAAUGGGUAAAGAAGCACCGGCUAACUACGUG